rnacentral:misc_RNA from 1 species
AGAAAUUAAAAAAUUAAUUCAACAAUCCCUCCCUUAAACUGAAAGUUUGCAAACUAUCAGUUUAAAGUGCAGACACCGAGCAUUUUUCUUAGCUUCUGAAAUGCAAGCAACUUCAAAGGUUUUGUCAAAAUGUCAGCUACUUGGUCUUCACUUCUGCAAUAGAUGAGAUCAAGGACUCCUUCUUUUGUAAGAUCCCUUAGAAAGUGAAACCUCACAUCUAUGUGUUUGCUUCUCCCAUGUAGAACGGGAUUCUUA